AGCAAACUGAGCUAAGCUAAUAAACCCUCCUGGGUCUUCUUCUGUCUAUUCCCUAUACUUCCAAAGUUCCAUUUGUUGUGUGGCGCCUCUGUCUCUGGGUGACGUUAAUCUGCCCUUUUGUGCUAAAACCUGCAAUUUGUUAUUAGGGUUUCAGUUGCUAGUUUCUCCGUAGAUACAUGGCCCCCGAUGCUUCUGAUGCUCUUGCAGUGAGGCAGAAAGUUCAGUUGUUCCUCAAUGCUGCAAGAACUGGGAAUCUGGAUCUUCUGAGGAGUAACUUCUGUUUAUUUAUUUAUUUCUUUUCUCUAGUGAAAAAGGGCUUAUUACCUGUAGUUCUAUUUAUUUGUUUUUCAAUAAGUUUGUUGUUUGGCAUUUGCUUGAAUAGAUGUAGCAGCGCAGCUCGAUGAUGGGAAAGGAAUGGCAAAAACUGUGGCGGAUAUGAAGGAUGCUAACAAACGAGGGGCUCUUCAUUUUGCGGCGAGGGAGGGACAGACUGAAGUAUGCAAGUUCUUAGUGGAGGACUUGAAGCUUGAUGUGGAU
rnacentral:misc_RNA from 1 species